AAUGAACGUUGGCGGCGUGGAUUAGGCAUGCAAGUCGAGCGAGAACCCCGCAAGGGGGGACAGCGGCAAACGGGGUAGUAAUGUGUCGGAACGUGCCCUCUGGACGGGGAUAGCGGCGGGAAACUGCCGGUAAUACCCGAUGAACUCGAGAGAGCAAAGGUGUGAUUCCGCCGGAGGAGCGGCCGACAUGGUAUUAGCUAGUUGGCGGGGUAACGGCCCACCAAGGCUGUGAUGCCUAGGGGAUGUGAGAGCAUGAUUCCCACCAUUGGGACUGAGACACUGCCCAGACACCUACGGGUGGCUGCAGUCGAGAAUCUUCGUCAAUGGGCGAAAGCCUGAACGAGCGACGCCGCGUGCGGGAUGAAGGCCCUUGGGUUGUAAACCGCUGUCGAGGGGGAUGAAGGCUGGAAGGUACUCCUUCCAGUUUGACAGAGCCCUGGAGGAAGCACGGGCUAAGUUCGUGCCAGCCGCCGCAGUAAUAC
rnacentral:rRNA from 1 species